rnacentral:rRNA from 1 species
GACAGAGGGUGCAAACGUUGUUCGGAUUUACUGGGCGUAAAGCGCGUGUAGGCGGCUUUGCAAGUCGGAUGUGAAAGCCCAUGGCUCAACCAUGGAAGUGCACUCGAAACUGCAGGGCUAGAGUCCUGGAGAGGAAGGUGGAAUGCUUGGUGUAGAGGUGAAAUUCGUAGAUAUCAAGCGGAACACCGGUGGCGAAGGCGGCCUUCUGGACAGUGACUGACGCUGAGACGCGAAAGCGUGGGGAGCAAACAGG